GAUGAAGAACGUAGCGAAAUGCGAUAUGUAAUGUGAAUUGCAGAAUUCAGUGAAUCAUCGAAUCUUUGAACGCACAUUGCGCCCGCCAGUAUUCUGGCGGGCAUGCCUGUUCGUGCGUCAUUUCAACCAUCAAGCCCCAGGCUUGUGUUGGGGACCUGCGGCUGCCGCAGGCCCUGAAAACCAGUGGCGGGCUCGCUGUCACACCGGGCGUAGUAGAUUUUAUCUCGCUCAGGGCGUGCUGCGGGUUCCGGCCGUUAAAAAGCCUUUUUUACCCAAGGUUGACCUCGGAUCAGGUAGGAAUACCCGCUGAACUUAAGCAUAUCAAUAAGCGGAGGA
rnacentral:misc_RNA from 1 species